UCGACCUCAGCGAGGAACACACGUGGGAAAAGCUUACUGCGCAUGCGCGGAUAUGGGCUGCAGCAGUGGGCACAGGGCAGCAGCAGUGACUAGACAAGCGCUUUAUCGACACAAGCAGAGUACAGGUGCCGAAUAACCCAGCAAAAUGCUCUUUUAAACAAUCACACGUCUCAUCCCGAAGCCAGAGAUGUGAUGAGGAGUGAGAGUCCAAUGUUGCAUUAGUCUCAUUGUGAUAUGCUGGCCUGUCUGCCGGUAUCAAACCCCUCCCUCCAGCUUCUCUCGCACACGCAGAUGAACACUGGACUUCAGAAAUGGGACACUACACAGAGGAUGAGAUCAGCACACUAUCCUACCCCAGCGGAUUUGGAUGCCUAUGCUAAGAAAGUUGCCAAUAACCCACUGACUAUAAAAAUCUUCCCCAAUAGUGUCAAAGUACCUCAGAGGAAGCAUAUUCGCCGCACCGUCAACGGUCUCGACACCUCCAGCCAGCGCUACAGCCCCUACCCACCUCAGGUCAACACCCGGACGGGCCUCUUGGCCAUCGUCAAAGUCCCUGUCAAAGGGAUCCUCAAGGACAUCGAAGGCGGCCGAGCCCGUUUUCUCCCUAAGCUCAUCAUGAACCCGCACAGUGGGCUUUACGCCAAUCCCAGCACUUUAAAUGUUCCUCACACUGUUCCACACCUUCAGACUCCUUUAGGCCAGAAGAGUCUCGCUCACUCUCAGGCCUUGCAGGCCCAUCCGCAGUCCCUGCAGCAGAAGAGCAGUUUACAACCACAGCAGAGCCUGGCCCACCAGGAGGCUUUACAUCAGAGCCAGGCUCACCAACCGCCAGUACCGCACCACACCCUAAACCACCAACAGACUCUCAUGCAGCAGCAGCCACAAUUGCCUGGUCCGCAAGGACUCCGGCAUCUGCCCGAUAUGGCGCAGUCGGUGCACCUGCAGCACUCCCAGGGCUUCUCUCAAUCCCAGCCCAUGCCACAGGCCUCUUGCGCCGGCCCUCCGGCCCCCGGGGUCUUACAGCCCCCCCUGGCAGGCUUGCAGAUGCCACGCAAGCUGCCCGACGCCGAUGCCCCUCCCAAUGUGACUGUGUCUACCUCAACCAUCCCGCUUUCCAUGGCUGCCAGCCUGCACCAGAACCGGCCCAGUGACCUGAGCAGCAUCGUCAAUCAGAUCAACCAGUUCUGCCAGGCUCGGGCCGGCAUGGGCUCUACCUCCAUGUGUGAAGGACAGAUCGCCAACCCCAGUCCCAUCAGCCGCAACCAGCUCAUCAAUGCGAGCUCUCGGGUGUGCACCCAUCCCGGUGUCGGUCCUCCACCUUCUUGCAUCCUUGGUAACGCUGAUAAAGGCGGUCCUGCUCCCGCUCUGCCACUGCCUGACAUCGCUGCCAUGAACAGGAUGCCUCUUUACCACAAUGACAUGAAGCAGCAUCAAUCCCAGCCACAGUUACCCCAGCAACAACGUCAGCAGGGCCCUUGGGGGCAACACCAGUUGGCACACCUUCAGCACCUUCCGGAGGGAGCGGCUCACCAGGGCAAGAAUCUCCCUAGAGAGGCCCUAGUUGGACCGGGGUUCCUCACCAAGAACAUGGGCUACCCGCAGGAGGUGUGCAUGGCACAGCCCUUCAACUUGAAGCCCUCAACUGAUAAACCAACACCAUCUCCUCCGGUCAACGGGAUGCACAUGAGUUACAGUAACGGCCACUACAUGCAGCCUCCCUGGAACAACAUCCUACCCACGCCAAACAGUGACAGCUCAGGGUCUCAAGACCUGGUGGGGCCGUUCCACGGGGGCCUUUCAGGGGCCUCCAUAGACUGCACCCCCGGAGCACAGUACAGGACCGGGGCAGCCAUUUCCAGUCAGACGAACCUGAUGCAGACCAUGGAGUACAUGGGCGGCGACUUCCAGGCGCCCUGCUUCCGAGCGCAGAAUCCUGGCACAAUGGCAAAGAUGCGUAGAGCAUCAGUCAGCAGGGCCACAGAUUCAGGUGAUAGUAGAAAUGUGCACAUCCACCACCCAGGGUACAGAUGAGCUGCUGCCAGUUGACGCUAGUCAGUGUUAUUCUGAGCGCAAGGAAAAAAAUUCCCCCUCUUCCCGUUUCGUUCUCAGUCUUGCAAGUGAUCUACUGAAUGUUUCCAGUACAAUGAUUUAUGUGGCUACCACAAAGCUGAACCCCCUUUUCUUUUAAUUUUAGUAGUUUAGAUUGCUUAAAUAAGUAGCUUUUGGAAAACGCUGUACGCAUUUAUUUAUUUUAGUUUGUUUAUUUGAAUAAUUUUUUGUCAUAAAAGCUUCAGUUUAUGAUAUCAGCACUGUUUUUUUCCAUUCCUAUCUGGUCUGUGUUAUACAAAUGAAAAAUGUACCACACAACACGCAUAUAUUUACUUUCUCUUUUUGAUUAGCAAAUGUCCAUUAUUUAAGAAAUUCCCAGCAAAUGCCAUUUGUAUGUAGUUUAGGCCUACUUGAGAUUUGAAGUACUAACUCAAUGAAGACAUUUAAGGGGUGCCAUGAUACUGAAAUAUUUGGCUGUUCCAUCUAAGCUAACAGCUUGUACAAUGUAUAGAGGUUGAUUUUAUUUUUGUUCCUCUCAAUGUUUACAUAUUGUGCUUUUUGUAACUAAUUCUGAAUCGAUAUGAAAGUGCAAACUGAUACUGGGAUAUGCACAUAUGACAAGACUGUUUCUUUUUCAGACUGUUGAACAUGAAUCAGGUUAAAGUCUUAGAUGGAAAUGUUACACUAGGGCUGAGUCAAGCCACAUUGUGUACAAUGUUAAUCCUUCCCUUGAAGUGUCAGCUAAUGCACUAUCCUUUUUAUUCCCUCUUUUUUUCUCGAUUAUCCUAUUAGAUUUCAGUUUAAAUGGAGACUGCUGUAAACUGAAAUUGCUUCGGGACUUGUGCUGUGCCCUAAUUGCAUAGAGUAGGGUUUUAUUUUGUCUCUCAAUUUAAUUGUUACUACUUGAAUUUCAUUGGAAAGAGACAGUGACGGCAGGCUUCGACUCACUACAGGACUUAAGUUUAGCAGCCGACCCAAAGCUACCUUUGGGAAGAGUGUCAUCAUCUGCUCGUGCGUUAGUCCAUCGUUAAAGGAAAGACGUGCUUGACCGUAAUUGGAUGACGGAAGUGUGUUGAAGUAAGCGCAAUAUAAAUGAGCACCACGGGCUAGCCUGUGGCUUUACUGCUGUGCUACUGUAUCUGAGAGGUGUGAUUAGCAGGUGUGAAUGCGUUGUGUUGGGGCGGAUUGGCUCACUGCUUUUGCUCCAUCAUUAACACCAUACCGCUCUUCCCUGGCGGGAUCACUUCCAUCUCCGUCACACGCUGUUGUGUCAGCUGAAGCCUGCCACUGCAUUUUCCUCCCACUUUAGGCACUUGAUGUGUCAUGUCGGUCUUAUCUAAAAUAGCUGAAAUGCACCGCCGGUGACAGUCUAAGUCUGUUCGACGGGAAAUAACCAAAACAAAAGACGCAUUUUAAGUUGAGUUGUUCUGUGAAUUCGAUAAUUGAUCCAUCCCAUGCUCCACGGUUUAACUCCCAUGGAGAGUUUCUCUCUUUCUCAGGUCUACCUGUGCCUCUUCUCAUGUUCUCCCUUGACUUUUACAUCGACUGAGUCUCUCCACCUUUAUCAGGGCAGGCCAUCUGGCAGUGGAGCAUGGGUAUUGUCAGACUUUGGUGGAGCAACUGCAGAUGAGCGAGUGGUGGAGCCGUGACUCCCAGUAUCAUAACCUCCCUGUUUGCCCCUCAGAAGCCUUAAAUAUUUUAUCCUUGAACUGUCCUUGACAAUAGGCAUGGUGUAGAAUAUAAAUUAAUGAUAUUUAGCUAAAUUUGUUUUUGUGAAACCGUAAAUCGGGGGAGCAAACUCCCGAAAGGAAGAGGUUUCUUUUGUAUUUAGCAAUGUAUGUGUAGUACUGGGCUGUAACAGUUUUGCAUUCACACCACAUCAUGUUAUGUUUCCCCACACUAGCAUCUUUAUUUGCUCCGUUUACCAUUGCAGCAAAACCUGUUCCAGUCCUUUCCCGUAAUGGGCGAACGCAUUCGUCAGAAACGCAAGCUCGUCUAAAAGGUUUGCGUAGAGGCUGAUGUUUUUCAAUAACACCAGGCCUAGUUUAAGUUCACGUCAGGAUACGUUGCCCAUGAAGCUGCUAUUUUAUUCCGACUACAAAAAGUUAUUUCUUAUAAAUGUUGUGAGGAUAGAGUUAAGAUCUAAUUUAUAUUAUGCCUUUUUUGCAAUGCAAUAUUGUUAAUAGGUUGAGCGUCGGGAGGCAUAAUAAGUUAUUCCAUUUGCCUGUCGACCAUGUCGUUGUAAAGCUUGAACGUUUAGACUUCCUGUAUUACUUUUGAUCCUCUUUUCAUGCCUUGUUACAGCUCAAGAGUACAAAGUCAGGUUACUCUUUUAAUAGUUACUAUCUCUAUGUGAAGUGCCUCCUCUGGGCUGAUGUGGACCGUGUGUAUGUGACCGUAGGGAUGGAAAAUGGACCGGCGCUAGUGCACAUUCCGUAGACGUAGUGCACUGCUCACGAACGGGGAACCGAGCUACUUUAAAAACUACUGAUAUCGUUCAGAAGAAAAAAUGAACACCGUGUACUGCUGCAGGUGUAAGAUCUGUUCAGAUUUGAAUAGUUGCUGCUGAAUCACUAGUUUAGGUGGCGAGAGCUACGCUGCUGAACUCCCUAGUGUCCUUGAAACAUUCGAAGGAAUGCUCUGGAAAGUUCUUUGUCUUUUGGAGCACAUGCACUCCUGCCCCCAUUACCCCCCUCCCUUCCUGCCCCUCUUCCCAAAACAACACAAUGGCAGUUUUGGACUACAGGAGUGUGUGUUAGGAGUUGAGUGUGUCUCAUCUUGUUCCACCAAAGAACAAAAUGUUACUUGAAUGGUAGCAGUGUGCACCUGUUUUGUGUAACCGAAAACUGUCAUUCCAGAUACACAUUUUUUCAGGAACGUGUUGCACAAACAUUCCCCUCUA